rnacentral:ncRNA from 1 species
CGUGGGCGUAGGAAAUUUGAGAGGCGCUGUCCUUAGUACGAGAGGACCGGGAUGGACAUACCUCUGGUGUACCAGUUGUCGUGCCAACGGCAUAGCUGGGUAGCUAUGUAUGGACGGGAUAAGUGCUGAAAGCAUCUAAGCAUGAAGCCCCCCUCAAGAUGAGAUUUCCCAACUUCGGUUAUAAGAUCCCUCAAAGAUGAUGAGGUUAAUAGGUUCGAGGUGGAAGCGUAGCGAUACGUGGAGCUGACGAAUACUAAUCGAUCGAAGACUUAAUCAA